GAACGCACCUUGCACUCUUUGGUAUUCCGAAGAGUAUGCCUGUUUGAGUGUCAUUAAAUUCUCAAACCUCACAAGUUUUGCGACUUUGUUGAGGCUUUGGAUGUGGGAGUUGCUGGCUUUCACGAGUCAGCUCUCCUUAAAUGCAUUAGUGGUUACUGUUCACUACAUCCUGGUGUGAUAAUAUCUACGCCUAGUAGUGAUGUUAAGUGUAGCUGCUUAUAACCGUCCAUUAGCUUGGACAAUUUGAACCAUUUGACCUCAAAUCAGGUAGGACUACCCGCUGAACUUAAG
rnacentral:misc_RNA from 1 species